AGGUCGUUGCAAAGAGGGUUAGUGUGGCUCUGAAGCCAGCAGCUCUUAAGGCUGCAAUUGAGAUUGGGUUUCUCCAGAGGAUGCCACAGUCACUCGAUGGUGUGGCUUUCCUGAGGAGACACAAGA
ensembl:snoRNA